AGAUCUAGCUUGCUAGAUGCUGACGAGUGGCGCACGGGUGCGUAACGCGUAUACAAUCUACCUUUAACUGAGGGAUAGCCCAGAGAAAUUUGGAUUAAUACCUCAUAGUAUUAUAAUUAGGCAUCUUUUUAUAAUUAAAACUUCGGUGGUUAAAGAUGAGUAUGCGUACUAUUAGCUAGUUGGUAAGGUAAAAGCUUACCAAGGCAACGAUAGUUAGGGGGCCUGAAAGGGUGAUCCCCCACACUGGUACUGAGACACGGACCAGACUCCUACGGGAGGCAGCAGUGAGGAAUAUUGCACAAUGGAGGAAACUCUGAUGCAGCCAUGCCGCGUGCAGGAAGAAUGCCCUAUGGGUUGUAAACUGCUUUUAUACAAGAAGAAACCUCGGUACGUGUACCGACUUGACGGUAUUGUAUGAAUAAGCACCGGCUAACUCCGUGCCAGCAGCCGCGGUAAUACGGAGGGUGCAAGCGUUAUCCGGAUUUAUUAGGUUUAAAGGGUCCGCAGGCGGAAUAUUAAGUCAGUGGUGAAAGCCUACAGCUCAACUGUAGAACUGCCAUUGAUACUGAUAUUCUUGAGUAUGGAUGAA
rnacentral:rRNA from 1 species